rnacentral:rRNA from 1 species
GUGCUAAGUGUUAGAGGGUUUCCGCCCUUUAGUGCUGAAGUUAACGCAUUAAGCACUCCGCCUGGGGAGUACGGCCGCAAGGCUGAAACUCAAAGGAAUUGACGGGGGCCCGCACAAGCGGUGGAGCAUGUGGUUUAAUUCGAAGCAACGCGAAGAACCUUACCAGGUCUUGACAUCCUCUGACAACCCUAGAGAUAGGGCUUCUCCUUCGGGAGCAGAGUGACAGGUGGUGCAUGGUUGUCGUCAGCUCGUGUCGUGAGAUGUUGGGUUAAGUCCCGCAACGAGCGCAACCCUUGAUCUUAGUUGCCAUCAUUAAGUUGGGCACUCUAAGGUGACUGCCGGUGACAAACCGGAGGAAGGUGGGGAUGACGUCAAAUCAUCAUGCCCCUUAUGACCUGGGCUACACACG